rnacentral:lncRNA from 1 species
AUCCUUUACACUACCCGAGCUCAUCUCAGAAGAACUCCUUUUGUUGGAGAAGCUUAAAUAAGGCUCACUGAAUGAUGUAGAUGAUGAAGUUGAACACAUAGAAGGAGUUUCACUCCGACAAGAAGAAGAAGAGAAUGUCCCAACAUCGCUUUGGAACAUUUCCUCAAACAGAUCCUGCAAUUCCUCGAAUGUUUCUCCCUGAUUUUCCGGAGCUCAUCUCAGAAGAACUCCGUUUGUUUGAGAAGCUUAAAAACGGCUCACUGAAUGAUGUAGAUGAUGAGGUAGAACACAUAGAAGGAGUUUCACUCCGACAAGAAGAAGAAGAAGAGAAUGCCCCAACGUCGCUUUGGAACAUUUCCUCAAACAGAUCCUGCAAUUCCUCAAAGGUUUCUCCCUGAUUUUCCUGUCAAUUCACACAACUACAUCUGAACACCAUUGCCACCUCUUAGCCACAUGUUUAUGCUAAAACGAAAAUACUGCUAACAAACAAAUCUGAGCCAACACGCACAAGUAUUAGGUUCCGCACCUAGACUUCAGUUCUAUUAGCCAAUGUGAAAAUGAUGUUUGUUCAACAAGCACCUUAAAAAUUAUGAAUAGAAUAGCACACUGGAUUGUAAAAAAAGAGUAGUCUGGUGCACUAAGCUACCCUAUGCAAGGGGGUCCGGAAUAGGGUCAAACCACAAGGUCUAUUGUACGCUUUUCUGCAAGAAGUAGUUUCCUGAUCACAUGGCACUUGCUAGAUUAUAGCAACAAAAAUUCCUACUCUGCAUUUUCUUUAUAUUCUGUGGGAGUUCCACUAUGUAAUUCAAUCAAGAAGAAAAGGGAAAAUGGAACUCACAUU